UACGUAGGUGGCAAGCGUUGUCCGGAUUUAUUGGGUUUAAAGGGUGCGUAGGCGGCUUUGUAAGUCAGUGGUGAAAUAUGGCAGCUUAACUGUCAGGGUGCCAUUGACACUGCGGAGCUUGAGUACAGAUGAGGUAGGCGGAAUUGACGGUGUAGCGGUGAAAUGCUUAGAUAUCGUCAAGAACACCUAUAGCGAAGGCAGCUUACUAGGCUGUAACUGACAUUGAGGCACGAAAGCGUGGGGAGCAAAACGG
rnacentral:rRNA from 1 species